CUCUACAGUCCCAAGCCCGGGACGCGGCUCCGAGCCUCCGGCUGAUGGAGAUGUGCUCGGUCCUCCCAGGAGUGGCAGAGGUUGGGUAUGAUUGUCCAUCGGGGCCGGAAGCCAGUGUCAUCACUGUGACGGCGUUGCCAGCUGAAAGGUGCUGGCGAGAAACUGAAGAUUGACCAUGAGAAAGAAGGUGGAGAAACAGCUGCUGCCCGAGAGGCACAAGUAGCAGGCGGUCUGCAGGAUCCGGCCUUCCCAGGAGUGCAGGGGGCCACAUCUGGAGACCUGGCAGCAGCCGGCCUGUCUGGGGGCACCCGAAGUGUUGGUAAUGUGCAGGCUCCUGGCAAAGAGCAGAACCGUCCUGUACUGAAUCCAGGAAGGAGACCGCAGCCUCCAGUCCUGCCCCAAAGCCUUGGUUGGGACGGGACACAGCCUUGCUGCCCCUUUCCUGAGCUGGCCAAGUUUAAGGGGCAAAGGCCCCCACCCCCAUCUGAGUAAGCGGUGCUGCUUGCUCAACUCCAGGAAUAUGUUAAUUCAAGCUUCAAAUUGUAAUCACUUCUUUAUAAAAGUUUUGAAUUAAGCCA
rnacentral:lncRNA from 1 species